UGCAAGUCGAGCGGAAACGAGUUAUCUGAACCUUCGGGGAACGAUAACGGCGUCGAGCGGCGGACGGGUGAGUAAUGCCUAGGAAAUUGCCCUGAUGUGGGGGAUAACCAUUGGAAACGAUGGCUAAUACCGCAUGAUGCCUACGGGCCAAAGAGGGGGACCUUCGGGCCUCUCGCGUCAGGAUAUGCCUAGGUGGGAUUAGCUAGUUGGUGAGGUAAGGGCUCACCAAGGCGACGAUCCCUAGCUGGUCUGAGAGGAUGAUCAGCCACACUGGAACUGAGACACGGUCCAGACUCCUACGGGAGGCAGCAGUGGGGAAUAUUGCACAAUGGGCGCAAGCCUGAUGCAGCCAUGCCGCGUGUGUGAAGAAGGCCUUCGGGUUGUAAAGCACUUUCAGUCGUGAGGAAGGUAGUGUAGUUAAUAGCUGCAUUAUUUGACGUUAGCGACAGAAGAAGCACCGGCUAACUCCGUGCCAGCAGCCGCGGUAAUACGGAGGGUGCGAGCGUUAAUCGGAAUUACUGGGCGUAAAGCGCAUGCAGGUGGUUUGUUAAGUCAGAUGUGAAAGCCCGGGGCUCAACCUCGGAAUAGCAUUUGAAACUGGCAGACUAGAGUACUGUAGAGGGGGGUAGAAUUUCAGGUGUAGCGGUGAAAUGCGUAGAGAUCUGAAGGAAUACCGGUGGCGAAGGCGGCCCCCUGGACAGAUACUGACACUCAGAUGCGAAAGCGUGGGGAGCAAACAGGAUUAGAUACCCUGGUAGUCCACGCCGUAAACGAUGUCUACUUGGAGGUUGUGGCCUUGAGCCGUGGCUUUCGGAGCUAACGCGUUAAGUAGACCGCCUGGGGAGUACGGUCGCAAGAUUAAAACUCAAAUGAAUUGACGGGGGCCCGCACAAGCGGUGGAGCAUGUGGUUUAAUUCGAUGCAACGCGAAGAACCUUACCUACUCUUGACAUCCAGAGAACUUUCCAGAGAUGGAUUGGUGCCUUCGGGAACUCUGAGACAGGUGCUGCAUGGCUGUCGUCAGCUCGUGUUGUGAAAUGUUGGGUUAAGUCCCGCAACGAGCGCAACCCUUAUCCUUGUUUGCCAGCGAGUAAUGUCGGGAACUCCAGGGAGACUGCCGGUGAUAAACCGGAGGAAGGUGGGGACGACGUCAAGUCAUCAUGGCCCUUACGAGUAGGGCUACACACGUGCUACAAUGGCGCAUACAGAGGGCGGCCAACUUGCGAAAGUGAGCGAAUCCCAAAAAGUGCGUCGUAGUCCGGAUUGGAGUCUGCAACUCGACUCCAUGAAGUCGGAAUCGCUAGUAAUCGUGGAUCAGAAUGCCACGGUGAAUACGUUCCCGGGCCUUGUACACACCGCCCGUCACACCAUGGGAGUGGGCUGCAAAAGAAGUAGGUAGUUUAACCUUCGGGGGGACGG
rnacentral:rRNA from 1 species